GGCUCGCGCAUUCACAUCAGAUCCCGACACUAACAGCUGUUACAUAACUAAUCCGGGCGCGAGAUACUGCGAUUGAAUGCGGGCGCGCGCAUAUAAACAACGUAAAGGUCAGCAGCUGCCACACACACACACACACACACACACGCACGCACGCAAGAGAAACACACACAGACAAGGCCCGAGGUGGAUCCAGUUCAAGCACAAGAGUGCAAAUGGCCUACUUAGAGUUUAAAGUGAGUAAUUAGAAACCUAAGCGGGGCUAAUUUCUUCCCCUCUGAUGAACGUAAUGAAAUGCCGUGUGCUCCCGUGGUGAGUGGCACCGGGACCGGCCCAGUCUGAUGGACACCAGAACAGCUGUGACCACACAUCACCGAAGACCCAGACGAACUAGUCCAAGCUAAACGGGGUUCCUUGGGCCCCCAGACGUGUCCCGGGAGCCGCUGUGUGUCUUAACCGAUCACGGUCAACUACUGCCUGAGCCCAGAGAAAGGGAAGGUCAGGAUUACAUCAGGACUGUUUGCUCUUUGAGGCGCUCCGUAACCUUCAACCUGCCCUCCAAACUGACACACUGACUGCCACUAUUGAUGCACAAAAGAAUAAAGACAACAUGUCUAAUCCGUCUUUUUUUAAGGAUAGGAGCUUGUUCUUGAACUUUGCAAAGCUAGCAUCAGAAAACAUUUGGUCACAUGAAUGCUGGUCAGAGAAGUGUAUGAUUCCACAUUACAGAAUUCUUCACCAAGGGAUACAUUUUAUGAACUACUAUGUCCAGACUGACGGAGCGUGAUAAGACAGUUUGUCAAUGCAAAGACGAUAUGAAGCACUAGUUGCUAAAAGAUACUGUUGCUGAGAAGGACAUGUGUUUCGAUUAAAUAAGAAAUUAAAUUAGAAUCACACAUGAAUAAGUUUGUUCAUGUGAUAUGUAAUUAAAAAUUAUGGCAGCGACGGUUGUAAACACUUCCAUGAGAUAUAUUAAUAUUUCAGACAUGGUGCUAGCAUUCAUCAGCCGUCAGAGGAGACUUACUCAGGCGUUGGAGCAACACGCUUUGGAGAAAAUGUAGUUAGUGAUUUUACAGAAGAGUUAUGGAUUCAAUACGUCUGAAUGACAGAUGACGUUUUAUCAACAGUGUGAUGCUGCGAGAGCUUUGGUGGAGCCAGCUGCACAUUGUCUGAAAAAAUCAAAAACAAACCAUCGUCCUUCUACUUCCUGUUGUCUUUGUCGUGGUUUUUGCCAGUAGUAACAUCUGGUUGUUAAUAAUGUGUGACUUGUGGGUUUCCACAGUCAAUAUGGCUGAAAAAUCAUCUCACCCGAGCGCAGAAAUAUUUCAUCAAAACACACGAGUUUUUUCAAAAUUGCUGUGUUUUCGUUAAGUGAAUUUAUUUUCGUAAUUUCGAUUUGCGCAAUUCUGUGGUUGAUGGAAACGCAGCCUGUGAAUCUUUGAAUAUACUUAGAUGAUUUUUUAAUUUCUUUUAAUUGAGCGUUUGAAUUAAAUUGAACUUGAAAC